GACGAACGCUGGCGGCGUGCCUAAUACAUGCAAGUCGAGCGCAGGAAAUCGACGGAACCCUUCGGGGGGAAGUCGACGGAAUGAGCGGCGGACGGGUGAGUAACACGUAAAGAACCUGCCCUCAGGUCUGGGAUAACCACGAGAAAUCGGGGCUAAUACCGGAUGGGUCAUCGGACCGCAUGGUUCGAGGAUGAAAGGCGCUUCGGCGUCGCCUGGGGAUGGCGUUGGGGUGCAUUAGCUAGUUGGUGGGGUAAUGGCCCACCAAGGCGACGAGGCAUAGCCGACCUGAGAGGGUGAUCGGCCACACUGGGACUGAGACACGGCCCAGACUCCUACGGGAGGCAGCAGUAGGGAAUCUUCCACAAUGGACGAAAGUCUGAUGGAGCAACGCCGCGUGAACGAUGAAGGCCUUCGGGUCGUAAAGUUCUGUUGUAAGGGAAGAACAAGUGCCGCAGGCAAUGGCGGCACCUUGACGGUACCUUGCGAGAAAGCCACGGCUAACUACGUGCCAGCCGCCGCGGUAA
rnacentral:rRNA from 1 species